AUUAGACGAAUCAUCUGGAAAGAUGAAUCAAAGAAGGUAAUAAUCCUGUAGUCGAAAAUGUUGUCUCUCUUGAGUGGAUCCUGAGUACGACGGAGCACGUGAAAUUCCGUCGGAAUCUGGGAGGACCAUCUCCUAAGGCUAAAUACUCUCUAGUGACCGAUAGUGAACCAGUACCGUGAGGGAAAGGUGAAAAGCACCCCGGAAGGGGAGUGAAAUAGAACCUGAAACCGUGUGCUUACAAGUAGUCAGAGCCCGUUAAUGGGUGAUGGCGUGCCUUUUGUAGAAUGAACCGGCGAGUUACGAUUUGAUGCAAGGUUAAGCAGUAAAUGUGGAGCCGUAGCGAAAGCGAGUCUGAAUAGGGCGUUUAGUAUUUGGUCGUAGACCCGAAACCAGGUGAUCUACCCUUGGUCAGGUUGAAGUUCAGGUAACACUGAAUGGAGGACCGAACCGACUUACGUUGAAAAGUGAGCGGAUGAACUGAGGGUAGCGGAGAAAUUCCAAUCGAACCUGGAGAUAGCUGGUUCUCUCCGAAAUAGCUUUAGGGCUAGCCUCAAGUGAUGAUUAUUGGAGGUAGAGCACUGUUUGGACGAGGGGCCCCUCUCGGGUUACCGAAUUCAGACAAACUCCGAAUGCCAAUUAAUUUAACUUGGGAGUCAGAACAUGGGUGAUAAGGUCCGUGUUCGAAAGGGAAACAGCCCAGACCACCAGCUAAGGUCCCAAAAUAUAUGUUAAGUGGAAAAGGAUGUGGCGUUGCCCAGACAACUAGGAUGUUGGCUUAGAAGCAGCCAUCAUUUAAAGAGU
rnacentral:rRNA from 1 species